rnacentral:rRNA from 1 species
AACGAACGCUGGCGGCAGGCCUAACACAUGCAAGUCGAGCGAGGACUUCGGUUCUAGCGGCGGACGGGUGAGUAACGCGUGGGAAUGUGCCCUUCUCUACGGAAUAGCCCUGGGAAACUGGGACUAAUACCGUAUACUCUCUAUUGGGGAAAGAUUUAUCGGAGAAGGAUCAGCCCGCGUUGGAUUAGGUAGUUGGUGGGGUAAUGGCCUACCAAGCCGACGAUCCAUAGCUGGUCUGAGAGGAUGAUCAGCCACACUGGGACUGAGACGCGGCCCAGACUCCUACGGGAGGCAGCAGUGGGGAAUCUUAGACAAUGGGGGAAAGCCUGAUCUAGCCAUGCCGCGUGAGUGAUGAAGGCCUUAGGGUUGUAAAGCUCUUUCAGCUGGGAAGAUAAUGACGGUACCAGGAGAAGAAGCCCCGGCUAACUCCGUG